rnacentral:lncRNA from 1 species
CCACACUGGGGGGUCUCAGUAUUCAAUGAUCCCCAUGGAUCCUUUCGUGUCCAAAUACAGCUUUUUAUUCCAGGGACUUCCAUUCAAGCGGAGGACAACCAGGUGCCCCCAGGGCCUGUGGCGGAAGCACAACCCACUUCCCCUUUCCUAGGCAGGGAGAACCAACACCCAGAAGCCUGCUCUGGAGCCGGCCUGCCUCCCAGCACCUAGGGUUCAGCUGCUUCUGAGACAGCCCCUGGCUGGAGACCCAGCAGCCUCUGACUCACAGGCUGCUGCCCUGGGCCUCAGUGCUGUCCUGCAAAACCAGCCGUCUCAGUGUCUGGGUCUGCUCGGAUGGGGCCUGUUGGAGAUUUCUUCUUCUCAAGACUGGAACCAGGGAGCUGUCCAGGAUGAGGUCACCAGGGGCGUCUGCUGGGAAGGAGCCCGCAGGGAAGGUGUGAGGAGCAGGCAGGCUUCACAGGAGGCCUCUGCCUAUGAGCUACCGUGAGCUGAGGCCACCGGCUCAGCCCUGUCUGCUGGCUGGGUGACCCGACGUGAGUGAACAUAGCUAAGGGCUUG